AGUGAACGCUGGCGGCAGGCCUAACACAUGCAAGUCGAACGAACCUUUCGGGGUUAGUGGCGGACGGGUGAGUAACACGUGGGAACGUUCCUUUAGGUUCGGAAUAACCCAGGGAAACUUGUGCUAAUACCGAAUGUGCCCUUCGGGGGCAAGAUUUAUCGCCUUUAGAGCGGCCCGCGUCUGAUUAGCUAGUUGGUUGAGGUAAUGGCUCACCAAGGCGACGAUCAGUAGCUGGUCUGAGAGGAUGAUCAGCCACAUUGGGACUGAGACACGGCCCAAACUCCUACGGGAGGCAGCAGUGGGGAAUCUUGCGCAAUGGGCGAAAGCCUGAUGCAGCCAUGCCGCGUGAAUGAUGAAGGUCUUAGGAUUGUAAAAUUCUUUCACCGGGGACGAUAAUGACGGUACCCGGAGAAGAAGCCCCGGCUAACUUCGUG
rnacentral:rRNA from 1 species